GGAGAGGUGCAGGAGUGGCUGAACUGGCACGCCUGGAAAGCGUGUGAACCUCUAAAGGGUUCCGAGGGUUCGAAUCCCUCUCUCUCCGCCA
rnacentral:tRNA from 1 species